GACGUAGGGCGCGAGCGUUGUUCGGGAUUACUGGGCGUAAAGGGCUCGUAGGCGGCCGACUAAGUCGGAUGUGAAAUCCCCAGGCUCAACCUGGGAACUGCAUCCGAUACUGGAUGGCUUGAAUCCGGGAGAGGGAUGCAGAAUUCCAGGUGUAGCGGUGAAAUGCGUAGAUAUCUGGAGGAAUACCGGUGGCGAAGGCGGCAUCCUGGACCGGCAUUGACGCUGAGGAGCGAAAGCCAGGGGAGCAAACGGG
rnacentral:rRNA from 1 species